CGUUGACUUGGAGCUGUUUUAUCUCGAGAGAGCAGAGGAGCGCACGACCGUUUAUACUAAUUUUUUUUUUUACAUAUUCUUGAGGAAUUUAACUAUUUCACUCAGUUACAAUUUCAUUACAUUAGGUCACAUCUCUCACUGAAUAAAGUUCCUUUGCUGACUGGUCCUGGAUGUCCUAAGCUAAGUGGUUCCGCUGCAGUUGAAGUGCUUUAGUAUUUUUAGCCCUGUGUUGUACUUCUGCUCGAGCUGUUUUCUGGAAGGUAUUUCACCAAAGUAAGAACACUUUUACCUGAGUACUGGUUCAGGCUACUCUACACAAAUCUGGCGCCAAUCAGUGAAAUACAGGCAGCACCAUGUGUUGCUCAUUAACUCGGUUAACAAAGCUCAGCAGCAGGUCGCAGCUACACUGAGUGAUGGCAUCGCAGGCAGAUAAACCAAAAGGCUUCGAUGGGCUGACAGAGCCUCCUGAAAAUCAGUGCCAACAGGAUGUUGAAGCUCUGGGUGCAACCGUGGCUGUGAUGGAAGACAAGAUUGCCUUAUGUGACAUGGUCCUGAAUGAUCUGAUAGUAAUUCAGAAAAUUGUCCAGGAAAAAGGCGUUCGUGAUGCAGCACCUCAAGAACAGAAUAAAUGAGUAAACUUCUUAAUUUUCAGAAUAUUUAAGCUCUUAAAAAGCUUUACAGCUGUACACGAGCAACUAAUAAAACUAAAGCCGUAAAACAACCAAUACAAAUAA